rnacentral:rRNA from 1 species
AGGACGAACGCUGGCGGCGUGCCUAACACAUGCAAGUCGAGCGAGGAGAUUCCUUCGGGAUGAUCCUAGCGGCGGACGGGUGAGUAACACGUGGGCAACCUGCCUCAUAGAGAGGAAUAGCCUUCCGAAAGGGAGAUUAAUACCUCAUAACAUUGCAGUUUCGCAUGGAACAGCAAUUAAAGGAGCAAUCCACUAUGAGAUGGGCCCGCGGCGCAUUAGCUAGUUGGUGAGGUAACGGCUCACCAAGGCGACGAUGCGUAGCCGACCUGAGAGGGUGAUCGGCCACAUUGGGACUGAGACACGGCCCAGACUCCUACGGGAGGCAGCAGUGGGGAAUAUUGCACAAUGGGGGAAACCCUGAUGCAGCCAACGCCGCGUGAGUGAUGACGGCCUUCGGGUUGUAAAGCUCUGUCUUCAGGGACGAUAAUGACGGUACCUGAGGAGGAAGCCACGGCUAACUACGUGCCAGCAGCUGC